rnacentral:rRNA from 1 species
AUUGAACGCUGGCGGCAUGCCUUACACAUGCAAGUCGAACGGUAACAGGGAGCUUGCUCCGCUGACGAGUGGCGAACGGGUGAGUAAUGUAUCGGAACGUACCAUUCAGUGGGGGAUAACGUAGCGAAAGUUACGCUAAUACCGCAUAUUCUGUGAGCAGGAAAGCAGGGGAUCGCAAGACCUUGCGCUGAUUGAGCGGCCGAUAUCAGAUUAGCUAGUUGGUGAGGUAAAGGCUCACCAAGGCGACGAUCUGUAGCGGGUCUGAGAGGAUGAUCCGCCACACUGGAACUGAGACACGGUCCAGACUCCUACGGGAGGCAGCAGUGGGGAAUUUUGGACAAUGGGGGCAACCCUGAUCCAGCCAUGCCGCGUGAGUGAAGAAGGCCU